rnacentral:misc_RNA from 1 species
AACGCACCUUGCACCCUUUGGCAUUCCGAAGGGUAUGCUCGUUUGAGUGUCAUUGUACUCUCACACUCGUAAUCUUUUCGAUCGCGAGCGGUGGACUUGGGUGCUGCUGCUUACCCGCGGCUCACCUCAAAUUGAUUCGUGCACCUCUUGGUUGGACAUAGUACGGCGUGAUAAGUGUCUUCGCCGGCGCCUCACUGCGAGGGUGGCCGAUCGGGAGCUCUGUGCUUCAAACCGUCCUCGGACAACAACUGACAACUUGACCUCAAAUCGAGUAGGACUACCCGCUGAACUUAA